rnacentral:rRNA from 1 species
UGGGGAAUAUUGCACAAUGGGCGCAAGCCUGAUGCAGCGACGCCGCGUGGGGGAUGACGGCCUUCGGGUUGUAAACUCCUUUCGCUAGGGACGAAGCUUUUUGUGACGGUACCUAGAUAAGAAGCACCGGCUAACUACGUGCCAGCAGCCGCGGUAAUACGUAGGGUGCGAGCGUUGUCCGGAAUUACUGGGCGUAAAGGGCUCGUAGGUGGUUUGUCGCGUCGUCUGUGAAAUUCCGGGGUUUAACUCCGGGCGUGCAGGCGAUACGGGCAUAACUUGAGUACUGUAGGGGUAACUGGAAUUCCUGGUGUAGCGGUGAAAUGCGCAGAUAUCAGGAGGAACACCGAUGGCGAAGGCAGGUUACUGGGCAGUUACUGACGCUGAGGAGCGAAAGCAUGGGUAGCGAACAGG